rnacentral:snoRNA from 1 species
AAGCCAUGAUGUGGGCAUUGAGACCAAUAGCCUUUAAACCUCUCCCAAGCUUCACUAAAUCCCUCUAGGUUCUUCGGCUGAAAGCUAGAGAUCUCAAUCAUGAUCUU